GGCCAUGGUGUUGUUGGCCAUGGUGUUGUCCAUGGCGCCGUCCCCAUCCCUGCACAGCACCUCAUGGGUCUGGAGCCUCUUGACGUGGAUGAAGCUCUUCCCGCAGUGCCGGCAGCCCAGGCCCCGGCGGCCCCGGUGCAGCUUCAGGUGGAAGGUGAGUGCCGGUGCCGAGGCGAAGGCACGGCCACAGAGCCCACAGCCGAGGGGGGGGGGCGAGGAGGGGGAUGGUGGAGCCAAUGGGGCCGAGGAUGGGGAUGGUGGAGCCAUUGGGGUCAAUGAUGGGGAUGGUGGAGCCAUUGGGGUCAAUGAUGGGGAUGGUGGAGCCAACGGGGUCAAUGAUGGUGAUGGUGGAGUCAAUGGGGUUAAUGAUGGUGAUGGUGGAGCCAAUGGGGUCAAGGAUGGGGUCAAUGGAGUCAACGACGGUGAUGCUGAUGUCAAUGGAGUCAACGAUGACGUCAGUGAUGAUGUCACCGGUGAUGGUGUUGAUGACGAUGCCAACGGUGCCAAAGAUGAUGAUGUCAAUGAUGACGUCAAUGGUGCCAAUGAUGCUGCAGCUGCCGCCAACGGUGCCAAAGCUGCUGCUGCCGCCGCCAAUGGUGAUGAUGAUGACGUCAACGCCAAUGGUGUCAAUGGAGCCAACGAUGGUGACGACACCGAUGACGUCAAUGCCAAUGGUGCCAAUGAGGGCGAUGAUGACGCUGAUGACGUCAAUGCCAAUGGUGUCAACGGUGCCAACGAUGGUGAUGAUGAUGACGUCAAUGCCAAUGGUGUCAAUGGUGUCAACGAUGGUGAUGACGACACCGAUGACGUCAACGCCAAUGGUGUCAAUGGUGCCAACGAUGGUGAUGACGUCAAUGCCAACGGUGUCACUGACGUUGAUGCCGAUGGCGUCGACGAUGAUGACGUCAUCCCCGAGCGCGUUGCCGAUGAUGACGUCAGCGCCAUUGGUGCUUCCGAUGAUGAUGACGUCAGCGCCACGGGGGCCAUUGGUGCCAAUGACGACGAUGCCGAUGACGUCACCGAUGACGUCAGCGCCAUUGGUGCCGA
rnacentral:lncRNA from 14 species